UCUGUCUGCUCUUUCUUUCUUAUAGCAAAUUUAUCUAAAAUGUAAAAUCGCUCGGAAUAGGCACAAUUAAUAUGCCGACUUGUGUGUAACCGUAACAUGUUACUGAAAAUAAAACUGAAGAUUUAAUCUGCAUUUGCCUCCAAUUUCCUAGUCAUUAUGGAUCAGCACUUCUACGCCAUCCAAAUUCCUGCUCAUGAAAAUACUACAAUUGGCCUCUUCAGUGAUCUCAAACUGGCCGCCCAGAGGCAAUUUUAUGCUGCCCGUGAAUAUAUUUCAGUUACGUAUCUGUUGCAAACAUAAGAGCUCAUUCACCGUGAAGCUUGCUAAGAAUUCAAUUUAUUUGAUAAAUCACCCACCAUAUUCUUGUAUUUUGUGCAAUU